rnacentral:misc_RNA from 1 species
UUAAAGCUUUGUAAAAAUUAGUUAAUCAUUGCAAAAGAGUGUACUUCUUUCUGUUUUUACUUUUAUAUUCUGAUUAUAAUUUUUAAGCUAUAUGUUUUUUAUUUAGAUAAGGAAUAUAAUUUUGUGUGUGAAACAAAGAAUGGAUGAAACAAAGAAUGGCUGAAAACAUUCUUUCUGCUGUUUUUAGUGGGGAAAUUGAUGUUGCUUAUGUUUGCAAUGCCAUCAAGAACAGAACUCCAGUUGUUUCUAAUGGCUUUUCUGCAUCGUCAUCUGAGUUUAUAGAGUAUUUUCUUGCUUACCUUCAUGAAAAGGCAUCUCCAGCUAACCAUAUUCAUUAUCAGUCACCAAAGAGAAUAAUUGAAAAAAAUAUAGAUAAGAAUGAAUCUAAAGUAUUACCACAAAAUAGGAGCAAGAAAAAAUGUGUUCAAAGCUUAAGUUAUUCUUCUCCUAUGAAGGUCGGUUCAACAAGUCCUUCACAGAUUUCAUCUGAUUUUUUUGGAGUGUCCCCUAUUAAGUCUAAUGAUAGUUCUGAUAAAAAGAAAUAUUCCAAAAGAAAUAGUUUUGAACUUUCUAAUUUUGAUGAUUUUCCAUCUAUCUCAAUGACAAAAUUGGCAAAACAAGUAAAGCCAAAAGGUCCUCGUAGAAUUACAACAACACCUGUUGCAAUAGGAAACUCUUCUUCACCAGAACUUGUGAACUCUUCUUGUUUUGAUACUAGUAACUCUUUAGCAGUUGUUGAUGAAUCCAUGAACAAGCUUUUUGUUGAUGAUAAGCGUUUUUCAAGGACUUCGACUCUACUCCAAUCAGUAACCAACUCUGAAGUAAAUAAAGAGUUCUCCAAAUGUUUUUUGUUGCCACCUGAACUAUCAGAAAAAGAUGUGCAUAACACAUGGGCGUUAAACAUUGUUGUGGAGCUUUAUAUAUUUGUAUGUUCACAAAAUCUGGUUACCAAUUUUACUCUUGAGUUUUUUUUUCUAUUUUCAACUCUUACAAUACAAACUAAACAAAGCAAGUUUUCUUUUCCAUUUGAUAAUUUAGCUGGGUGUGUUUACUUUGCUGUAAAUAGCCUUUGUAAGUUAAAGAGCUUACUAGUCCAUUUUGAUAUAAAAACACUGCAGUUGUUAGCUGAAAAUACACGAGUGAAUGCUUUUGCUAGUUAUGACUUUUUAAAGUAUUUACAAGAAAAUAUUGAUUCCGAUAAUAAUAUCUCUAUUGAUUACAGCUCACAUUUUUUGCAGUUAUCUGCAACUGGGAUUCCUUUUCAAGUUGAUUCUGAAAAAAGAACAUCUUUUAAAAGUGAUAAGCAUUUUUAUUCAUUUUCUAAGCAACGUGACGCAUUUUAUGGUUUAGUAAGAGAAUGGCAAGAGAAACACAGUAAUCCUGAUUUUAACUUAGAGAAAUUAAUUAAUAGUAGAGUAUCUCAAAUUAUGAUUUGUGACAAUGAACUCAAUACUUAUUAUGAGUUUGCUAAACUAUUUAUAGCCCAGUUUUUAGAAAUGUGCAGAGAUACUGUUGGUAGUAAACACUUUGAAAUAGACACCUCAGAUAGUACAUUGUUAGAGUUAAAGAAGCGGUAUCCAGAAAAGUUUAAAAGCUUGCAAGAUAGAUUAACUCAACCAUUGCUUACGUCAAAUCCUUGCCCAACUCCUAGUUUUUCUUUGGCAGAAUUAUUUUUUUAUAAAUUUGUUCAAAUUGUUGACAGUUUUUAUUUUAACAAAUAUUUAGUCCAUAUUUUAUUUGCACAUAUUACAGAUUUGAAUAGGAAAUCAUUCGGUAUAGAAAACCAUUCAGAUGUGCUUUUUGAAUCUGACUACGCAAAGCGUUUAUGGCAAGAUAUACAAGUUGUUAUUUUGGAAUUACGACUACUGGCGAAGUUUUUGGGAUUAAUAGUGUUCUUACCAUAUAAAAAUGUUACAUAUGAUAACUUGGACUGUUUUCAAAAUCGUGAUACUGUUACAGAAUCAUUUAAACUUGAAAAUUUUAUUGAAGAAGCAUAUAACAACCAUCAUUUGCUUAUUACUAUACCUUGGGUUGUGGAAUUUUUCAGUAUGGCUGAUAGGUAUGCUUUUCAGCUUAAAAAGUAUCAAACUCCUCUUCGUUAUUUGUUUGAACUCUACUGCAGUCAAAAUAUGCUUAUUUUCAAUGAUGCAUUUAAUUUACUGAAUUUGGCACUUCUAUUACAUCUUGGCUGGCUUUUUGAACAGCCGCAUGUAACCAUCAAGAUUGAGAAUGUAUCAUUGUUCAAUUCUACCUCAAAUGUUUGUGGAAUUGAUGAUUUUGUUGUGGUAGACAAAAACUUUCUCUAUGCACUUUGUCCAUUCUUAAGCCAUACAAAAAAACCUCUUCUUGAUUUUUCAAAUGGAAAUCGUAAUGCAACAAAAUGCUCAUUCAGAAAAAUCACCCCUAUUAGAACAAAUAUUUUUGUUGGAUUAGAUGUGAUUAAAAAUUUAAAGAACCAACUUCUGGAUAGCUUUUUUCGAUACUCUUCAAAAAGAACAAAAGAAUGCCUUGUGUUUGUUACUGACAGACACUUUACAAAUAUAAAGCACUACAUUUCUGAAGAUUUAAUACCUUACUGUUGCGAAGAAGUUGUUAACAAUAUUAAAAAUGAUUUUAUAUUGGAUACAGAAGUUACUGAGCUUGACAGUUUAAAGCUUCUUAACUCAACUAUUUACAAUAAAUAUCUUGAAGAAGGAAAGAAGCUUGUUGCUCUAAAGUGUGACUCUUAUCUAAAAAGAUUUCUGAAAGAAAAAGCUACAAGUAGUAUCGAGUCACUUUUUCCAGAAUCUAUCAAUGUACAGGAAUCAACUGCUGAUCUACCACUUCUUGAACUUGUUUUGUAUCUUUUGUAGUUUGCUUAACAGCAAAUGCUUCAAAAAUUGACUUUUGUCCAGAAUUUGCAUUGUUAUUUUUACUGUGGAAAGAUCUGUAUGUGGACGAAUUUUUGUUGUGGCUUCUACAAGAUGUCUUUGGUCGAUCCAUAUUACUUUGUACAUGUUGCUGGAAAAGUAGUCACUCACAAUGUUUGCUUAAAGGUACAAGAGUGGUUAACAGCAAACA